UUUAGAGAAAGUGGGCGGUGCCUUUGCAGACUUUGAAAUUCCCAUUGGCUCCUGGGGAUUGGUAGACUGCUGCCCACUGUUCACCUGCCCAACGGCUGCCCGCGGACGCCUUCCUAUCACUGCUGUCAUGUGUGGAAGCACAAGCACUGUGGCAGGAAGGCUUUAGAGGAAAACACAGAAUGGUCUCCUAGAUGCCAAAGACACACAUUUGCCGCGGGGCUGAUAUCAGACGUGCCAUUUGAGAGAACGGGGUGUUCUGAGUCUCUUCUUCUUCCUGCAUCAGAUGAAGAAGCAGCGUCAUCUCGGAGGAUGCGAAACGACGCCCUUUCCCUGUUUUCCAGGAAUAUGGGGCCUUCCAGGGAAUUAAGAAGGAUCCAAUCAGAGGAGGUUUGGUGGUUUUCAAAUAAGAGGCGGUGCCGACAGACCCUUGGCACGUAGGCCGUUCCUGGACGGGAGAGGAAAGGCCGCGGGGCGCUGCAGCCCUGGACAUUCUCCUGCACCCCCGGACGCUGUGGCCGCUGCCACUACUAAGCAGAGGGACUCCGGGAGGGUGGCGAUGCACCCGGUGGGGUCUCCUCUCCCACGACCUGGGCAGGUCGGUCCUAGGAUGAAGCGCUGACUUUGAACAAAGACAUCUGGCGUCUGUAGAGACCACGCGAGAGGGAAGAACCACACCCCUUUGGAAGCGUGUGAGCCCUGGGGUUGGCGUUGAGACCUUCCAGUGGGGGUCCCCGGGGAGAGCUAAUGAGUCACAUGGGUGUUAUUGCCAAUAUUCUUAAAGGGGAGCUCAGAGCUGGGCUCUGAGACUAGCCCGGCUGUUAGAAUCCCGUAUCCCUGUUAUCAGAAUAACAGGGGUAAGUCACAUGCUGCGGCCCUGCUGGCUGUGGUCGUGGAUGUGGGUUCAGCUCUCCAGGUUCCCCAGAGUGUGGACUGUUGCUCUGAACACCCCAUGCAGCUGAAAGCCGGCCUCUGUACACCGGCACCGAUUCAGUCUCGGAGACAGAGUUUGGGGUGAAGCAGAAAGAACGGCUUUAGUGCUUUGCCAGGCAAAGGAGGCCACAACAGACUAACGCCUCAAACCUGUGUCCUCCCUUGAGAGGGGACAGCAAGGGAUCUUAGAGGUUUCGCUUGAAAACCAGGGCUGUGGAUAAGGGUCAGGGAGCCUGCAUUCUUCUCCCUCCAGAGAUGAUUUCAAAGUUGUCAAGGCUGCAGUCGGAUGGUCCGGUGACAGUUUCUGGCGUCGUUGGGGUUAUGGCAUCUUGACCUUCUCUCUGCAGUGAAGACUGCUUAUGAAAGGAAGGGGGCGUUAGGGAAUAUUUCAAAGGAGAAAAGCUACCAGAUUGCAAAGAAAAGAAGGAACAUCUGUGAAAGGGGAAUCGAGCAAGGGAGUAAAAUCAUUUAGGCGAAGCGGGUUGGCGUGAGUAAAGCUGAGCCCCGC
rnacentral:lncRNA from 1 species